CUUCGAAUUUUGUGCCAGCUUCGAUCAUCCAGACUUUAUUUGGGAUGAUCUUAGUCUUGUUGGACUCCGUUUUUUAUCGCGAACCUCGCUGUGGGCUCAAUGUGGACCGAAUCUUAAAGCAUCAAAUCCUAAUAUAUUAUUAAUAGGUUAAAAUUUGAUUUCAAGUUUGAAUAUAAUUUGGUUGAUAUUCGAGUCGAAUCGAGUCGAGUCGAGUCGA
rnacentral:lncRNA from 1 species